rnacentral:lncRNA from 1 species
ACAAACACAUCUUUGCCCAUGAUUUGUACACAUUGUUCCUAAUUCAUCCCACAGUCCUUUAAGUUUGUUAAAAUAUGAGGCUACAUUUAGAGACCCUUGAGAAGUGUGAGAAAGCUCUCUUUUUAGUUCAAAAAUUUUGGUCCUGUUGGCAGUGCCAUAUCUGGUCUGAAGCUGCGACCAUAUACUCUGUGCAGUAUCAGAAUAC